rnacentral:rRNA from 1 species
UACAUAGGGUGCAAGCGUUGUCCGGAAUUAUUGGGCGUAAAGAGCUCGUAGGCGGUUUGUUGCGUCGGCUGUGAAAUCCCGAGGCUCAACCUCGGGUCUGCAGUCGAUACGAGCAAACUAGAGUGUUGCAGGGGAGACUGGAAUUCCUGGUGUAGCGGUGGAAUGCGCAGAUAUCAGGAAGAACACCCGUGGCGAAGGCGGCACUCUGGGACGGUACUGACGCUGAGGCGGCGAAAGCCGUGGGGGAGCAAACAGG